rfam:Ictidomys tridecemlineatus contig070789, whole genome shotgun sequence.
GGGGUUGUGGUUCAGUGGUAGAGCACACACCUUGCACGUGUGAGGCAUUGGGUUCGAUCCUCAGCACCA